ACUUCAUUCAUAUGGCUGCUGCUCAUAGUAUCAACAGAGAAGAGGUUACACGUUUUUUUUCCCGAGUAGAACACUUGUAAUAUUACUCAAUCACCAACAUGAUUACAAUCAGCUGUUGGGGGGUCCAGAACCCAACCAAAUCAUAGUUCUACCUUCUAAACGAGCAUAUAAUUAGUGAAUAAUUGCUUGACUUUAUUUUGGGAUCGACUGAUAUGAGUAAUACUGGUCCCACGAAGGCUCAUAAGGUGCUGGAGGAGGUUACACGGUCUAGGAAUAAUACACAGAGAAUACAUACAUACAUACAUACAAACACACUGAUAAGUAUUUUCUGCGGCAAAUACGCUACUGCAGUACACAUGGUCACGUCUUCUCACACUAGUUUUUUUUUUCAGAGCAGUAUUCUCACACUAGUAGCAACAUAACGAAACAGAAGAGAAGCCCAAGAAGAAGUAGUCGCUUGGGCGUAGCCGGGCCGAAUGCCUCUGUUGCGGCCCAACAGCACUAGCUAGCUAUCAUCCAUCGGGAGCCCACCGCGGUGUGGUUACUGCUGGGGUUGAUGGGCCGGGCCGCCUACUUUGUGGAGGAGGAGCGGUGCGGGUGCGGGCGCGGGCGGGAGAGCGACGGGUAGAGGCGGAAGAGGUUGCGGG
rnacentral:lncRNA from 1 species